AUCUUGACCCCAUUCUUGGACCAAAACAAGAAACCAAUCACAGAGAAUCAACCUAGCCAGUCAGCAUAUUCGCAAUAAUUACACUUAAUAUUAUAAUGGCAGUAUCAGUAACAAACGGAGUAACGAUAGUUAAAUUGUACAAUAGUGAUACUCAUGAAACGCAUUAAACACCAUGAUUAUGCGAGUUAACGACAUGAAUUCCUUAGAAUAAUUUUAUUAUGGCACAGUCCCGCGAAUUCAGAGGUAUGGACGUAGACACAGGGAAAAUGAGUAGAGGGUCGAACGACUCACUCCUGUUAGAGGGCAGCCAAAGUAGCGCUAUCACCUUCCACUGUCUGCAAACAUGUGAAACAUCUCUUGUUUUGCCGCUCAGGAGAGCAUGCGACGCUAAGAACACUGACAAAUAUAAAUAAAAAUUAGUAAUUUGUUAUUAGAUUAUGGCUUCUUAUUUUUUUCACAAGGUGUGCAGAAAUAAACAUAUAGGUCUAUAGUAUUUAAUAAGAAGAAAUAAAGUAUGUUUAUGUAAAAACGAAUGUCCAUGCUUAUGCUACCAUAUAAGAAUGUACACAAGGGGAAGAGCAACGUUUUUUCUUUAACACCACAUUGUACCAUAAUAAUAUUUCUUGAUCAAAAGUUAUUUAUUUUUUCAACUUCUCUCUAUAUAUAUUAAUUUGUAAAUUGAAAUUUUCAAACGUCUCUCCUUUUGUUCCAGUGCCAUUAAUAAAAUGUAGAAUAUUUUUGUUAAUAAAUUAUAUAUAUAAUAUAUGCACCCGUGAACAUAUGUACGUAUACGUACAUAUAAUAUGAGCAAAUAAAUAAAUAGUGCUCAAUAAAAAUAUGAGUUAUUAAAGUCAUGCAUCUUGUGUAAACGAAACAUAAAAUCAAAAGUAGCAAUUUUUUAAUUAUUUGUAAAAGAAGAAUAUAAAUAAAUGAAGAGGUAAUAGCUAUAUAAAGUUAAGCAUCCAUUUAUACAAAAACCACCAUUAUUUAUAAAUAUACAUUGAAUAUUUAAAAUGAUUGUAAGGUUGCAUAAAAAAAAUUAAACAAUAUAAUUCCACAAAGGAAUUCUUAAAUAUUCAAAUACUAUAGCUAUUAUUAUUGUUAUAUACCAAUAAAAGCAAACUACUGCUUGCAAGUUAAUUUAUAUUUAUAGAAACAUGCAGAUAUAGUAAUAUUUCAAUUUAAAAUUUUUAUUAUUUUAAUAUCAUAAAAGAUACUUACAUUUGUAUUUUGAGGUGCUAAAGUGUGUUUGCUCAUCACAAUAGUGGUUGUUUUGAGAUCUUUUGUACCACCUGGUGACUUUGGUGGUACAACCAUGUCAACCGGACUACUUGAUUUGCUUACUAAUGAUUCAGCUGCUCUUACUACAUCUAAUACCUGUUCAAUUUGAAAGUAUUUAA
rnacentral:misc_RNA from 1 species